GAAAUAAAAUAAUUAAACUUCUAAUUUAAUAAAAGUGAUUAAAUUCAUUAAUAUUUCU
rnacentral:tRNA from 1 species